GAUGUGGUCGGGGCAGGUAAUGAGGAAGCUCAGAGAGUGUAUUUCCAACCAAGGAUCAUAAAGUGCCUUUUUGUUUUAACUUUUGUUUACACUGGCUAAGCUCAAAUUGUUAGCUGUCAAGGUUGUUACUGUCCAUUAGCCAUUGCUGGCUAAGCUCAAAUUGUUAGCUGUCCUGUCACACUAUUUUUUUAUGUUUCAUCUCUUAGUAGACUAUGCCAAAUGAUUAAUUGAGACCUGUUUUAUUCCUGCUUGGUAAGUAAGCUUGGGGAAAAUAUUAGGCAGUGUUAUCUAUAUUGAGCGACUCUUUCUAACUAAUUUUCAGGUCACUGCUGACCUCUUUUGGCCAGGUCAAUCAGUGCCGAAUUUCAGGUCUUCAGUGUCUUAUUAUGAAUGAACCAACCUUUAUUAAUGCCCACAGGGGAAAUUCACUCAUCUCAGCAGUUCAAACUAGAAGAAAAGAGUGAGAAUUAUUUACUGUAUACGCACCUAUGUCAUACUCAGAUUUGACCUGCAGUGGUAAUACUCACAUAGUGUGUAGCAUUGUUCUAAAAUAUUGCACUGGAAAAUAGUGAAUUGCACAAAGCAUGACAGUAUAAUGGUAAGUCUAUGUUCAAGGUGUAACAUAAGACAAUAUGAGGUAAACAUUGCUCACUAAAGCCUACAUAUUGCAAGCAGGUCACUGCCUAUCUCUAGCCAUUGCGAGCUAAGCCCAGAAAUGUGUGGCUGUCCAGGUCAGUGCUGUCCUUGUCAUUGCCGGUUGGUUUUGUUUCUUUCUAUUCAUUUAUGGUACACUGUUGAUUCUAAUCAGCUUGAAAAAAAAAACAAAAAAAAACUGUGUCAUGCUCAUCAUUACGGUUCAUCCCUUAGCAGAUUAUGCAGCUUUUUAUGAUUUCAUCCCUCCUUGGUAAGUAAACAUUCUUUGUUGGAGAAUAUUAGGCUGUGUUUUCUCUGGAGCUUGCACCCCAUAUUUAGGGGGAUUUAUCUUGCUGCUGCUCAGGACUGAUAUCCCUCGAUUCAAAAUGUCCCUGUAGAGUCUAAGCACCAAAGACUUUUUAUAUGAUCAUCAAUAUCAUCUGUAUAAUAAACAAUUCUUUUUGCCUCAUUCACUUGUCUCUCCUGAUUGAAAUGGAGCUUUAGCGAAAGUUCAGUGAGGAAGACUAUCUUUUGCAUGCUCAGUGCUUUUAUGGUGCUGUUUUGCACACUCCACCACCUCCCCAUCACCACCCAUUCGCAGAUUCAGCAGUGCAUCACUUUAUCAACCUCAUCAGCCCUAUCAGUCUCAGCAGAAGUCAUCAGCCACCACCAACACCAGUGUCUGGACUCUAUGGUUGGAUUUAUCUUGCUGCUGCUCAGGACUGAUGUCCCUUGAUUUAUCCCUGCAGAGUCUAAGCACCAAAGACUUUUGACAAGACUUAAUCAUCAAUAUUAUCUGUAUAAUUGUUACGACCGCCUCCCUUUCUGCCUGCAGUGGUUUGAUUGGCCACUUCCUGCAGGAGGUAGAAGUCAAGGCUCCACAUCUCCUGGUUUUGGGUUUGGUUUGGCAUUUUUUUCCUCCUGUGUUCAACAGUAGCAUACACACACCUCACUCAUCCACACAUUCCAUUCACUACUGAUGCAGUUACUCUCCACACCUCAUGCCUUUUGUAGAUAGUUAAGUUGCUUUAUUUUCCAUAAAACAAAUAAUUGGCACUUUAACUUGACUUGUCUCCCCUCAUUGUCAUGUGCACUGAACUAGUCUGUGACAAUAAUAAUUCUUUUUGCUUCAUUCACUUGCCUCUCCUGAUGAAAAUAUGACUUAGCUGUUCAAAUUGCAUAUACACCUGGCUGAGUGUGACUGACUUUGAGUCAGUGUGAGCCAGAUCACCUCCAGAUGUGGUGAGGCAGAUCUGUUCACAUUGCACUGUGUGCAUUUACACCUUACUCCUCCAAGCCAUAAUCUAAAAGCUGUGCAUGAAUUGACAGUCACAAAACAGUGUAGAUAAUCAGAUUCAGAACAGGGGCUGCAGGUUUGGUUAAACAUGUGACAGCUCUUUAAUACUUUGUGGAAAACUGGUGCUCCAAAUAUGUUGGCUAGUUAACUGUUUAUAGUGCUGAGUGGCACAGAUGGCACACGUUUUUGUCAACAACAUGCACAUUUUUAGCCUUAUAUGAAAUGGGGAAAGCAAAAUGUUGCCAUACCACUGAUUUUAAUGAAGGAGGACAGUUCUCUAACUAGAUUUCGCUUUCUUUUUUAUUCAGUAUUGAUAUUGUUACACCCCAACUUGGUAUUCCAUUAUCCUGCUUACUCUCUGCUUUUCAACAUAAUCUUUUAUUUCUCUCUUUCUUGCUUUCUUUCUUUCUUUGGUUGGAACAAAUAUGGUGGAAUACCUCCAGCAGGCUGAGGUGUUGAGGCCGUACCCCUACAUCCUGACACUGGGAUAUGACCAUCAGUGCUCCAUGCACAUGCUGUUGCUGUUGUUGAUUCAAGUGUUAUUGUGUUUAUGAAUCGAAAACAGUUAUGAAUUUG